rnacentral:lncRNA from 1 species
GCUGUGCCCACAGCAUGUGGAAGUUCCUGGGCCAAAGAAUGAACCCGAGCCACAGCCGUGACCUAAAUCACUGCAGUGACAAUGACAGAUCCUUAACCCACUGCACCACAGAACUCCCGAGUUUUAAUUUUUGAGUUUCUUUUUUGAGCAGUUCUAUUUUUUGUAAGGAUUAGUUAUCACUUAAUUUUUAUUCUUUAUUAUAAGUUUUCCAAAGGAAAAAAAAUUACUUAUUUUUCUUAAAGAAAUAAGAUUAAUUCUAUAUUACCAUAGCAUCCAUUGGACCCUGUUGUACAUCUAAGUGACUUAGGGUGCUUAUUUUCCCAUGUCAUCGAAUAACAUUUGCUACUUCAUCAUUACUCAUGAGUUUUUCUGACCAAUAUGAAAGAAGAAGAAGAAUGGUGGAAUGACCUGGAUUCAGAGGAUAAUGCAAUAAUGAGAUAAAUCAACACAACUGCAUCAUUCAAGGCUUUCCCAUUGCAUUGCCAAAAGUAUGGCAUCAUCUUUAAGAAGGAAUAAGAGAAGACUGGACACACCAUCUUUGUAGCUUGCAUCAAACAUAGUAGAAGACAGUGAAUUCCUUUGCUUUCCAUUUAUCACGGCAAAGAGGAAAAAAUAAAGGAAGAUGUUUCACAAUCCUUCAAUGUAUCAGAAGAUGAAGGCAGAGGCGGCCAGACUUGGGCUCCAAGGACAAUGACGAAUUUGAUAGUAUGAGGGAAACUCCAGACAAUGAGUCUUCAGAUGACAAUAGCCUCCUCAACGAAUUUUCUCCAACUCAAAAUUUGAUGGGCAAAGUUUAUAUAUUUUAAGGACCAAAAUGAAAUACAGUCAAUUAUUCCAAUGGAAAGACUUCAUCGUGCAAUAUUUUGUCACAAGUACCUGGACCAUUCCAUUCGCUAAAAGGACAUCAUGAACUGGGAAUUGACCUACGUGGACACAGGUUGAAGGCAGCUGUGUAUAUGAAGAUGGCUGGAAGGAAACAGAGAAACUUGUUGGAUUGAUCGAUCUUAAUUGGUUUAUAAAUCUAAAAAUGAAAAUUCUGCACAACUAUGAAGCAAAAAGAUGACUAUCCUCUCUUCCUCAAAAAUCUUGUGCCAUCGAAGGUUUCCAUUUUUCCUUGUACUUCAGCGUGGCGAUGCAAGUGCAAGAAGAUGCAGAAGCAAUGACAAGCUAGACCUUACCAGACCUCACUGAGGGAAGUCUGAGUCAGUACCUACAGGACAAUGUUCCAGAGUCACACACAGCAGCUGAGAGGCUAUUAAUUCCAUUCAACUGGUAUUACUCACUUCAGGUGUGAAUAUGUUCAAAAUUAGGGAAAUACAGAAGGAAAACUUGGAACUUGUGUGUCCAGUUCUUGUGUCGAAAUUUCUAGUAGAGUUGUUUUUUCACUCUUACUUUUACAAAUUAUUUAUACAAUGACGGAAAAAUAUUUUUUAAAAAUUCCACUGUGAGUUCCCACGGGGCUCAGUGGCUUAUGAACCCAACUAGUAUCAUGAGGAUUUGGUUUGAUCCCUGGCCUCACUCAGCGGGUUAAGGAUUUGGUGUUGCCAUGAGCUGUGGUGUAGGCCGGCAGCUGCAGCUCUGAUUUGACCCCUCGCCUGGGAACUUCCAUAUGCCUCAGGUGAGGCCCUAAAAAGUGAAAAAAAAAAUUAAUAAAAUGAUAGGAGUUCCCAUCAUGGCACAGUAGAAAUGAAUUCGACUAGGAACCAUGAGGUUGCAGGUUCUAUCCCUGUCCUUGCUCAGUGGGUUAAGGAUCUGGCGUUGCCAUGAGCUGUGGUGUAGGUCGAAGACAUGGCUUGGAUCUGGUGUUGCUGUGGCUGUGGCACAGGCCGGUGGGUUCAGCUCUGAUUGGACCCCUAGCCUGGGAACCUCCACAUGCAGUGGGUGUGGCCCUCGAAAAGACAAAAAAAAUUAAUAAAACAAUAAAUAAAAGUUCCACCAGAUCCAGAUGUUAAGCAGGGGUGACUAUCUUCUCUGGUACAUUGAAGUUUGCAUGGGAUACAAAUUUCCCAAAAUAGACCCUGCACAACACUGUUUUUUAGUCAAAUAUGUUUGAGAAAUGUUAGCUAAAAGAGAGUUGUGUCAAUUUUUAACUGAAGGAUUUCUCUGAACCUUCAAUAUGCAAGAUGUCCAAACUGGUCUGACCAUGAAACUCUUGGGCUGGGGCAGAGUAUUUCAUGGGACUAGUGGUCGAUGGAAGAGUCUUAAAAAACUUCCCAAGCAGAUAAAAGGACAGCAAACCAAAUCAUAUUAUUCGUUAAAGUUAAAUUUAUGGAGGCUUCCCCCUGCCCUUUAUAGGGAAAAAUUGAAGUAUCAGAAACCCAGCUCCAUAGGAGAACCCCAAAGGAAGGCUGGGGCAAGAGAGAAGGAAUGGGCUGCUCAGAGGUCAGAGGGAGUUCUACUGAAUAGACAGGUGCAGAGUGAGGUUGCCAUGGUCUUGGACAAAGAGGACUCAAAGGGAAUUGCUUCCUUACCUUUAUUUUGAAAAGGAAGGGCAAGAUUAUUCUAGAGACAGGGAAUAUGAUUAGACUCUUGGGAGAGCAAAACUCUGUGCCCGAUGCAGAAUUCCUAAGGGUGGGUGGGAGGGAAGAAAGGAAGGCAGUGGUUCUGGAGCCUCAAGGGAGAGGGGACAUCUUUUUAAAAAUAUUCCUGACACAGAGUCCUGGGUUCCUGCCCCCUGGACGUUGCUGUGAACUGGAGCAACCACCUCUGAGACCACAAGGGUCCUGCUGUAGGGCUCCAGCCCUCACCACUGGAUUCUGUGUCCAGGAAGACCCUCACUGUCGUUGCAGAGUUAGUGGCAAAGUGGAGCCACAUGUCAGAGGGGCAGCUGCCUCUCAGUCCCCGAGUGAGCAGAGAUCCAGGACAGCCAGCUCUCCCACUUUUCAAGAUGGGCGAAAAGGGAGUUUCUGUUGUGGCUCAGGAGUAUCGAACCUGACUGGUAUAUAUGAGGCAGGUUUGAUCCCUGGCCUCGCUCAGUGGGUUAAGGACUUAGCAUGUAGGUUGCCAGCUGCAGCUCUGAUUUGACCCCUAGCCCGGGAACUUCCAUUUGCUACAGGUGCAGACCUAAAAAAAAAAAAAAAAAAAAAAAAUUUAAUUUAAUUUAAAAAAAAAAAAAGAUGGGUGGGUGAAACAUCUGGAUUUUCCUGUGAUCCUGUUUCUUCAUUGUUGAUCACUAAAUCAAAUUAUUUCAUCUGCCAGUCGAGUCAAACAGCACCCGUUUCCUGUUCCAGACAAGGUCCGUAGGGUUUGAGACCUCUGGGUGGGGCACUCAGAAUUCGGCGGGGUGGGGUGCAUGGCUUUCUCCAGCCACAUUCAGUAGCCACCUGACUAUUCAGCCUUUAGCAGGCUUGGGGAGUGAGAAUGCUGGAAGAUGGGGAACUCCCUGUCGGCUCAGCAAGUUAAGGAUCGGGCAUUGUAGCUGCUGGGGCUGGGGUCAUGGCUGUGCCACAGGUUCAAUCCCUGGCCACAGAACUUCCAAAUGCUGUGGGAGUGGCCCCAAAAAAGUGAAGCACAGAAGGGUCUCUGCAGCCGGGGCCCAGCGAGAGAUCAGACUUCAGUCCCCAGGAGAACAAAGAACUGAGUGAGAAGAAAUGAGAGAGACAGUGUUGGAAGUCAAGAGCUCCAAAAAUAAACCUUUGCCUUUUAUCACUUUUUUACUUCAGUUGCUCUCAACUCGCCUUUUUUUUUUUUUUUUUUUUUUUUUUUUUUUUUUUUUUGUAAUUCUAACAAUUCCACAGACAACCAGAAGUGUGAAGAAAAGCAAGCAACAGUAGGUUUCCACGGAUCUGCUCUGCGCUGAUCCUGCCCUCAGCCCGCUGGUUCCCAAGGUGGGCACACACCCUCUCUUUCAAAAGGCCCAGUCCUAGAGUCAGACCACAAGCCAAGGCCACAGGCAACGGUGUAGGGCUGCCUCUGCCUUGGUCCCAGUGGCUGUCUUCCAAGAAGUGCUGGAACAGCCCAAGUAGCAAGCAAGCAGUGCCCUAAGAAGUGGUCAGCAGUUGGAAACAGCUGGAGGGAGGAGGGCCCGCGAGCAAAUAUCAGAGUUUGGGAGAUAAGGCUUUGGCUGAACAAAGUUCACUUGUUUUCCAAGAAAGCAGGACCUGGGUGGAGGUUGGGGGGACGCCCCAGAGAACAGAGCAAGGAGCAGUGAAAUGCACACUGGCUUUCAACUUCUGAGGCCUGGGACACUUGGCCACCCAACAGUGACCAGGGCCAUUGUUGUUCCCCUUGGGGCAAAGGGCAGGCGGCAGCUCCGUGUGAGAGGGCAAAGAUGGACAGGCAGUCAAAGCAAGACUAAGUGACAGAGAUGGAGGGCAAGAUAAAAGGAAAAACACCUGAAAGGCCAUUGGUGCUUUCCUGGGCUAUGCAAAUUCACUUAACUCAUCUCCCUCUCAUUCAUUAGUUCAUCUGGAUCAUUUAGAGCUGUUCAGUCCUGCAGGUGCCGACCUUUUGCAGUGAGCGCUCUAUCCCUAGCAGAGUUGGAGCCGAAGCUCAACUAUUAUCUAUCAGAAAUUCUGCUAAAAGGAGGAGAGGUUGGGUCAGCUACCUUCUAAUUCUUAAAACUGUAUCUUAGCAGGAGCUCCUGCAGUGACGCAAGCUCUUUGUAAAUUAGUGAACUGUUCUUGGGAGUCGUUAUUAUUUUUCUAACUCAAAAAAGUCAUUUUAUUUAUCUCAUACCAGGAAUUCUUAUGCUUUACAUGUUUGUAUCCCUACGACACCCCCAGCCCUGAACCUGAAACAUAACAAGUGCCCAAUAGAUGUUUGUUGAAUAAAUUAGUUAUAAAGAUAGGGCACAUAGGAGUUCCCAUCCUGGCUCAGCGGAAGCAAAUCUGACUAGCAUCCAAGAAGAUGCAGGUUUCGAUCCCUGGCCUUGCUCAGUGGGUUAAGGAUCCGGCAUUGCCUGAACUGUGGUGUAGGUCAUAGACGCGGCUCGGAUCCAGCAUUGCCGUGGCUGUGGCAUAGACCAGCAGCUACAGCUCCAAUUCUACCCCUAGCCUGGGAACUUCCAUACCCUGCAGGUGUGGCCCUCAAAGGACAAAAGACAAAAAAAAAAAAAAAAAAAAAAA